rnacentral:tRNA from 1 species
GGAUGGAGACCUGGUGGCUCCCGCGGACUUCAAAUCCGUAAGCAGGGCGUUGAUAGCGUCCCGGGUGAGUUCGAUUCUCACACUGG